rnacentral:tRNA from 1 species
GUGCUCGUAACUCAGAUGGAUAGAGUGCGACCCUCCUAAGGUCGAAGCCGUGGGUUCGACUCCCUCCGAGCACGCCA